AGCGAACGCUGGCGGCGUGCUUAACACAUGCAAGUCGAGCGAGAAAGUCCCGCAAGGGAUGAGUACAGCGGCGAACGGGUGCGUAACACGUGGGCAAUCUACCCUUGAGAUGGGGAUAACCCAGCGAAAGUUGGGCUAAUACCGGAUAAGACCACAGGAGGCAACUCCAGAGGUCAAAGGGCGCUUUCUUUUGGGAGCGCUCGCUUAGGGAGGAGCCCGCGGCCUAUCAGCUUGUUGGUAGGUAAUGGCCUACCAAGGCGAAGAC
rnacentral:rRNA from 1 species